GAUGAACGCUGGCGGCGUGCCUAAUACAUGCAAGUCGAGCGAACGGACGAGAAGCUUGCUUUUCUGAUGUUAGCGGCGGACGGGUGAGUAACACGUGGAUAACCUACCUAUAAGACUGGGAUAACUUCGGGAAACCGGAGCUAAUACCGGAUAAUAUUUUGAACCGCAUGGUUCAAAAGUGAAAGACGGUCUUGCUGUCACUUAUAGAUGGAUCCGCGCUGCAUUAGCUAGUUGGUAAGGUAACGGCUUACCAAGGCAACGAUGCAUAGCCGACCUGAGAGGGUGAUCGGCCACACUGGAACGGAGACACGGUCCAGACUCCUACGGGAGGCAGCAGUAGGGAAUCUUCCGCAAUGGGCGAAAGCCUGACGGAGCAACGCCGCGUGAGUGAUGAAGGUCUUCGGAUCGUAAAACUCUGUUAUGAGGGAAGAACAUAUGUGUAAGUAACUGUGCACAUCUUGACGGUACCUAAUCAGAAAGCCACGGCUAACUACGUG
rnacentral:rRNA from 1 species